CCCCUUUUAGCUCAGUGGUUGGGCGUUGGCUUUGGAAGCCACCUAUCGGUGGUGCGAAACCACCAGGGCACA